CUACGGGACGCUCCAGUGAGGAAUACUGCACAAUGGGGGGUACCCUGAUGCAGCAACGCCGCGUGGAGGAUGACGCAUUUCGGUGUGUAAACUCCUUUUAUAUGUCAAGAAAAUGACGGUAGCAUAUGAAUAAGCACCGGCUAACUCCGUGCCAGCAGCCGCGGUAAUACGGAGGGUGCAAGCGUUACUCGGAAUCACUGGGCGUAAAGGACGCGUAGGCGGGUUGGAAAGUCAGGUGUGAAAUCCUACAGCUUAACUGUAGAACUGCACUUGAAACUUCUAAUCUAGAGUAUGGGAGGGGGAGAUGGAAUUAGUGGUGUAGGGGUAAAAUCCGUAGAUAUCACUAGGAAUACCUAAAGCGAAGGCGAUCUCCUGGAACAUUACUGACGCUAAGGCGUGAAAGCGUGGGGAGCAAACAGGAUUAGAUACCCGAGUAGUC
rnacentral:rRNA from 1 species